UUCAACUUGAGAGUUUGAUCCUGGCUCAGAGCGAACGCUGGCGGCAGGCUUAACACAUGCAAGUCGAGCGGGCCCUUCGGGGUCAGCGGCAGACGGGUGAGUAACGCGUGGGAACGUGCCCUUCGGUUCGGAAU
rnacentral:rRNA from 1 species